GACGAACGCUGGCGGCGUGCUUAACACAUGCAAGUCGAACGGAAAGGCCCUGCUUUUGUGGGGUGCUCGAGUGGCGAACGGGUGAGUAACACGUGAGUAACCUGCCCUUGACUUUGGGAUAACUUCAGGAAACUGGGGCUAAUACCGGAUAGGAGCUCCUGCUGCAUGGUGGUGGUUGGAAAGUUUCGGCGGUUGGGUAUGGACUCGCGGCUUAUCGGCUUGUUGGUGGGGUAGUGGCUUCCCAAGGCUUUGACGGGUAGCCGGCCUGGAAGUGUGACCGGGCCCAUGGGGCUUGGGAAGGGGGCAAGAGCGAAACGGGCGCAAGGGGGGAGAAACAGUGGGAACAGGGCCGCGGGCGGGAGGAGCAACGCCGGGUGGGGGAACGCGGCUUUCGGGGAAGAAAAAAUUUGCGAGUGAGAAGGCACGUGUGGGGGGGAAAUGGGUAAAAAAGCACGGGUAAAUACCUG
rnacentral:rRNA from 1 species